rnacentral:rRNA from 1 species
GACAGAGGUGCCAAGCGUUAGGCGGAAUCACUGGGCUUAAAGCGUGUGUAGGCGGACUUGUAAGUACCUUGUGAAAUCCCACGGCUCAACCGUGGAACUGCUCGGUAUACUGCUUUUCUUGAGCCACUUAGGGGCUGUCGGAACAAACGGUGGAGCGGUGAAAUGCGUAGAUAUCGUUGGGAACACCGAAAGCGAAGGCAGAGCACUGGGUGCCACCUGACACUGCUAGGACGAAAGCGUGGGGAGCGAAUGGG